UACGAAGGGGGCUAGCGUUGCUCGGAAUCACUGGGCGUAAAGGGUGCGUAGGCGGGUCUUUAAGUCAGGGGUGAAAUCCUGGAGCUCAACUCCAGAACUGCCUUUGAUACUGAAGAUCUUGAGUUCGGGAGAGGUGAGUGGAACUGCGAGUGUGGAGGUGAAAUUCGUAGAUAUUCGCAAGAACACCAGUGGCGAAGGCGGCUCACUGGCCCGAUACCGACGCUGAGGCACGAAAGCGUGGGGAGCAAACAGG
rnacentral:rRNA from 1 species